GGGUUUUGGGCUUGAUGGUAGAGCAUCUGCUUUGUGUGCAGAUGGCCCCAGGAUCAAUUCCCAGGAACUAGGCA
rnacentral:tRNA from 1 species